GUUGCAAUAGCGUGUGUUCUUACUCACAUAUAAACUGGUAUAUAUUCUGGGUCGACACUAGGCCUGGCCAUGAACAACUCCAUUAUUGUGUUGGGAUGGAACAUAACGGUAACCAUGGUAACGGAGACUUUCCUGCUUUCCAAGCAAUCAACGGCGCUUUGAGUUUAAACAACCCAGAGGAGGCCACAAACCGAGAGGAGGACGACCUGCUCUGUCAGUUUAUAGCUCUCCGACUGAUCCACAUAGCAGCACAGAUAGACAGAAACCUGGAGAGGAGAGCGAGAAGGGAGCGGGCAGAUACCAGGGGUAAUGUGCUGGGGAGCCUGGUCUCGGCACUGGGGUGGGUCCUGGAGGUGGUCUUCAGAUACUAGUGGUCUCUACUGCUGGAGGUAACAUUUCACUAAUCCUUGUUUUCAUGUGUGUCAGGUGUGUGCGGGUUGUAACUCAGAAUCAGAUGACUUUGGUUACUAUGGAUACUAACAUUUGUUUAGAUAACCCAAGGGGCUGAAAAACGUUAACAAACUUAGUAACUUCCACAAUGAUUCCUAAAAAGAAGACAUUAUUUGAACUUUCGUUUGAUUUUUAU